AGCAGAUUGCUGUGUAAAGGAGAAGAGAGUAAAUAUUUUCAGUUUUGAAGGACCUAGGAGCUUUGUUACAACUACUCAGCCCUGCCGUUGUGACGCUGAAGCAGCUGUAGAGGACGCCUGUGCAAACAGCGUGGCUCAUUCCAGUAGAACCAUUUGGAAACGCGCACCUUGGGCUACAGGGGCAGUAGUUUGCCAAUCACUGCUUUCUUUUCAUCUUUACCUGCCAGAAGCUUCUCGUCAUCCCUGCUGAUCAGGGAACCAACCCAAGCAGCUCCCAGCUCCUGUCCUCAGGAUGUUCCUCCUGCUGGCUGGAGGCCACCUAAAUAGGCCACCGUGCCCGGCCUAUUUAGAUUAAAAUAACUAAAUUUUAUUUAUGGAAAUGUUUCAAUAUCCAGCCCUGCAGGGAUGCCCACCGCCUCCUGCACUGGCCCUUUCUCACAGUCUGUUGCUGUCUCCCCUUGGAGGGAACCAGGGGGGACUUCCUCCCAGAGCCCACCCUUUGGUGCAGGUGAAAACAUGGUGCCCAGUGGGAUGAGUUCCCGGUGAAAUGUAGAGCCUCAGUGGAGCUGACACCAGUCUCUUGACCACUUGUCCCUCUUUACAUGUAGGAAGCACUUUACAGCUUCACCCCUUUGAGCUGUGGACUUUAUGUACAUUAGCUGAUCUCACCCAGCCAGCCUCAAUGUCCUUUUCUGCAAAAUGGGCAUCAUAAUAGGAGUGUUCAAGUAAGUGCUUGAAGUCUGGGAAGAAUCAGGCAACAUUUCAGAGCUCUCUGGAAUCGAGGUGGACUUGAAUAGACUAGGCCAUUUUGUUUUCCUUAAGCAUCAUGGUGAGGAUUGUUGAGUUUGGUAGAUAUUGUUAUGUCCAUUCUCCAGACUCACCUCUGAAUAUUCCCAGAUGUACUUCCAGGAAGCUCUGGGCUGCAGGGAACACAACAUCCAAAAAUGUGGCUUAAGUAGGAGGAUUAUUAUCUCACUUAAAAAGAAACCUGAGGUAGGUUGUCCCAGGCUUGGUUCAAAAGUUUAGUGAUUCAUUGACUCGUUCAUGCAACAAAAUGUUUUUGAGUGUCUUAUGUUGAGACACAGUAUAGGAACUGGGGUAGAGCAGUGAAUAAACACAGUCCUUGCCCUGGUGGAAUUUGCAUCUGAGCAUAUAUCAUUCGCGACUCAAGAUCUUUUUCAUCUUUCCCAUCUGCUCAUGUACUGUGACAUCUCCC
rnacentral:lncRNA from 10 species